rnacentral:rRNA from 1 species
UACAGAGGGUGCAAGCGUUAAUCGGAAUUACUGGGCGUAAAGCGUGUGUAGGUGGUUUUCUAAGUCAGGUGUGAAAUCCCCAGGCUCAACCUGGGAACUGCAUUUGAUACUGGAAGACUCGAGUGUGGAAGAGGAUAGUGGAAUUCCCGGUGUAGCGGUGAAAUGCGUAGAUAUCGGGAGGAACAUCAGUGGCGAAGGCGGCUAUCUGGUCUAACACUGACACUGAGACACGAAAGCGUGGGGAGCAAACAGG